CUAAACAUUUGUGCCCAGGUGUCUGUAAUUGGCAGGUGUGCCAACAAUACUGUCAGACUAUGUGAGACUGCAGCAGUAAAACCCUGGUAGUGUUACAAUGAACAAGAGAGGAGCACAUAGGAAAAAUAUUCGCCUCGUACGCGUGGAUUCAUUUUGGAGCGUGAAGUUAAAUGUAUUUCUUUCCUUCUUCGUGGAGACCUCCUGGCAAAUCGAGUUUUAAAUACCAAUACACACGAGGAGCACAAAGUCCAGAUUACAGAAAACAGAGGUCAUAUAGGCGAGGAGUUUUCUCACACUGGUGGGAUAGACACUCGCUCUUUUCCCCGUUUGUUGUCAGAACUGCCUUGUGUGUGCCUGUCAUGUGGCACACACUGAAGUUGGAUUCCUCUGAGAUUUUGGUGACGAGUAGAACUCUUUCAUUCCACCACAUCAUGAAAACGCUCUCUAUUGGAGGGGGUUUUUUUUAUUGCAAUGAACUCACUUUCGUGGGUUUAAGAAAACACACUGAGAUUAUUUGAGUGUUGCGACAUAGCACAUUAUCCAGCUGGAAGCAACCAUUCAAAGAUGACAAUAAUAGGCAGGCUGUGGCAUUUAGGUUUGUGCUAAAAAGCCCAAAAUGUGCCAUAAAAGACCUUGAUAGUACACCAGCAGCAGCAGCCUGAACAAAGCAGGAUGGAUCCACGCCUUCUUAUUGUUUGCACCAAAUUCUUAAGCUUCCAUUCGAUUCACAGCUGAAUAUGAGACUUGUCAAACCAGGCAAUGUUUAUCCAAACUUUUAUUGUCCAAUUUGAUGAGUCACUGAUAAUUACAGCCUCAAAUACCUAUUCUUAGGACAAGGUGUGGUCUUCUGCUGAUGUAGCCCAAGUUUAAUGUGUUGUGUGAGAUGCUGUUCCGCAUACUUGCCUUCCUAACAGCUCAAUGCUUAUUGGAAGGCGUGAUACCAAAGACCAUUGUCCGCUGACCUCUGGCAUCAACAAGACAUUUUCCCUCAGAGAAUUCCCACUCACUUGAUAAUUUCUCUUUUUCAGUUGAUUCCAUGUAAACUCUAUAGAUUGCUGUGUGGACACUGUCAUUUUCUCAAAUACUCAGACUAGCCUGUCUGGAACCAACAAUCAUGCCACAUUCAAAGUCACUUAAAUCACCUUUCUUCCCCAUUCCUACGUUCAAGACUACAUGCUUAAACAAGCCAAAUUUCUGCCUUGCUAUUGGCUGAUUGAAUAAUUUAGCAAAAAGUGUCAUUUGUAAAGUCAAAGAGGUGCAACGUGUUUAGUUUCUGGGGAUUCAGAAUAUAGGCAGUAGUUAGACAGCAGCAUGCUAACUUCUAUUAAAGUGUUGGAGCCUUCUUCAGUUCUUUGAUCAUUUCUUUCUUUCUUUCUUCAAACCUUUUCACAAAUGAGGUUUCAGUUAAUUAAAUUGAUUUUCAUUCCAUGCACCUUUUUAUCUGGCAGAACACUGAAAUUUUGGCUUGGAUGGCUGCAAAAAGACCUAAGAUUAUAGGAUUACAAAAGUCUUUGGGGAAAUGAAUCAACUUCUUACUUGAUUUGUGUCCCAGUGCAUUUGUGGUCUCAGUCUCUAGUUUCAAGCCUUAUUGAACAAAGAAUUAUGCCCAUUUAUUAAACCAUGGCCUUACUUCAAGUAAAAUGAAUAAUAAAGCAGGGUAUACUUUAGGGCAUGGCUGUCUUGUGACUGAAAAAUUGCUACUGUGUCCAUGUGCAUUUGUCCAAUUUAAGAAUGAAGAGAUGGCUGCAGCAAAAGUGCUAAAGUGGGGAUUCAGAACAUCAUCAGAACCCAGGAAUUAGCCAGCGAUUGAGUGCAUUCAAAACAUCAGCAAUUUCUGAUAUUCAAAACACUUAUUUAGUUGGUCCCUGAUGCUCUAGUGAAUAGGAUUUGGUGCUCUCAUCGCUGCCGCCCAGGCUCAAUUCCCAGUCAGAGAGUGAUGCUUGGCACUAUA